rnacentral:rRNA from 1 species
GUUCGUUCCUGUGGGUGGGUCGAUGGUGUUCGGGGGGUCCAUGCGUGUGCGGGAAUUGACUGGGGUUACGCACUCGCGGGCGGUUUUUUAAGCGCGAUGUGAAAGGGCUGGGCUCAACCUAGGAUUGGCAGUUCGAACCGGGGAACUAGAGUCUUGUCGAGGCGGGUAGCAUUCCCGGUGUCGCCGUGAAGUGCGUAGAGAUCUGGAGGAAUACCAGUGGCGAAGGCGGCCCCCUGGACAAAGACUGACGCUCAGGUGUGAAAGCGUGGGGAGCAAACAGGAUUCGAUACCCCAGUAGUC